UGUGAAGAUGCAGUGUACCCGCGGCAAGACGGAAAGACCCCGUGAACCUUUACUAUAGCUUGACACUGAACAUUGAGCCUUGAUGUGUAGGAUAGGUGGGAGGCUUUGAAGUGUGGACGCCAGUCUGCAUGGAGCCGACCUUGAAAUACCACCCUUUAAUGUUUGAUGUUCUAACGUUGGCCCGUAAUCCGGGUUGCGGACAGUGUCUGGUGGGUAGUUUGACUGGGGCGGUCUCCUCCUAAAGAGUAACGGAGGAGCACGAAGGUUGGCUAAUCCUGGUCGGACAUCAGGAGGUUAGUGCAAUGGCAUAAGCCAGCUUGACUGCGAGCGUGACGGCGCGAGCAGGUGCGAAAGCAGGUCAUAGUGAUCCGGUGGUUCUGAAUGGAAGGGCCAUCGCUCAACGGAUAAAAGGUACUCCGGGGAUAACAGGCUGAUACCGCCCAAGAGUUCAUAUCGACGGCGGUGUUUGGCACCUCGAUGUCGGCUCAUCACAUCCUGGGGCUGAAGUAGGUCCCAAGGGUAUGGCUGUUCGCCAUUUAAAGUGGUACGCGAGCUGGGUUUAGAACGUCGUGAGACAGUUCGGUCCCUAUCUGCCGUGGGCGCUGGAGAACUGAGGGGGGCUGCUCCUAGUACGAGAGGACCGGAGUGGACGCAUCACUGGUGUUCGGGUUGUCAUGCCAAUGGCACUGCCCGGUAGCUAAAUGCGGAAGAGAUAAGUGCUGAAAGCAUCUAAGCACGAAACUUGC
rnacentral:rRNA from 1 species